CGUUAGCGGGAUGGUUUUACACAUGCAAGUGGAACGGCAGGCACGAGGAAGUUUUACUUUUUUGGGUGGCGAGUGGCCGGAGGGGUGAGUAAUGUAUCGGGAACGUGCCCAGUAGUGGGGGAUAACUACGCGAAAGCGUAGCUAAUACCGCAUAUUCUCUUCGGAGGAAGGGGGGGGAUCAUUUGACCUCUCGCUAUUGGAGCGGCCGAUAUCAGAUUAGUUAGUUGGUGGGGUAACGGCCUACCAAGGCAGUGAUCUGUAGCUGGUUUGAGAGGACGACCAGCCACACUGGGACUGAGACACGGCCCAGACUCCUACGGGAGGCAGCAGUGGGGAAUUUUCGACAAUGGGGGAAACCCUGAUCGAGCCAUCCCGCGUGUGGGACGAAGGCCUUCGGGUUGUAAACCACUUUUCUUAGCGAAGAAAAGUCUUAGGCUAAUACCUUAAGACGCUGACGGUAGCUAAGGAAUAAGCAUCGGCUAACUACGUGCCAGCAGCCGCGGUAAUACGUAGGAUGCAAGCGUUAAUCGGAAUUACUGGGCGUAAAGGGUGCGCAGGCGGCUUGGAAAGAACGGUGUGAAAUCCCGGGGCUCAACCCCGGAACUGCACUAUUAACUAUCAAGCUAGAGUAUGUCAGAGGGGGGUGGAAUUCCGCGUGUAGCAGUGAAAUGCGUAGAUAUGCGGAGGAACACCAAUGGCGAAGGCAGCCCCCUGGGAUAAUACUGACGCUCAGGCACGAAAGCGUGGGUAGCAAACAGGAUUAGAUACCCUGGUAGUCCACGCCCUAAACGAUGUCAACUAGCUGUUGGGCCGGUUACGGCUUAGUAGCGCAGCUAACGCG
rnacentral:rRNA from 1 species